GGUUAAGCGACUAAGCGUACACGGUGGAUGCCCUGGCAGUCAGAGGCGAUGAAGGACGUGCUAAUCUGCGAAAAGCGUCGGUAAGGUGAUAUGAACCGUUAUAACCGGCGAUGUCCGAAUGGGGAAACCCAGUGCAAUUCGUUGCACUAUCGUUAACUGAAUACAUAGGUUAACGAGGCGAACCGGGGGAACUGAAACAUCUAAGUACCCCGAGGAAAAGAAAUCAACCGAGAUUCCCCCAGUAGCGGCGAGCGAACGGGGAGCAGCCCAGAGUCUGAAUCAGCUUGUGUGUUAGUGGAACGGUCUGGAAAGUCCGACGGUACAGGGUGAUAGUCCCGUACACCAAAAUGCACAGGUUGUGAACUCGAAGAGUAGGGCGGGACACGUGGUAUCCUGUCUGAAUAUGGGGGGACCAUCCUCCAAGGCUAAAUACUCCUGACUGACCGAUAGUGAACCAGUACCGUGAGGGAAAGGCGAAAAGAACCCCGGCGAGGGGAGUGAAAAAGAACCUGAAACCGUGUACGUACAAGCAGUGGGAGCACCUUCGGGUGUGACUGCGUACCUUUUGUAUAAUGGGUCAGCGACUUAUAUUCUGUAGCAAGGUUAACCGUAUAGGGGAGCCGCAGGGAAACCGAGUCUUAACUGGGCGUUAAGUUGCAGGGUAUAGACCCGAAACCCGGUGAUCUAGCCAUGGGCAGGUUGAAGGUUGGGUAACACUAACUGGAGGACCGAACCGACUAAUGUUGAAAAAUUAGCGGAUGACUUGUGGCUGGGGGUGAAAGGCCAAUCAAACCGGGAGAUAGCUGGUUCUCCCCGAAAGCUAUUUAGGUAGCGCCUCGUGAAUUCAUCUUCGGGGGUAGAGCACUGUUUCGGCUAGGGGGUCAUCCCGACUUACCAACCCGAUGCAAACUACGAAUACCGAAGAAUGUUAUCACGGGAGACACACGGCGGGUGCUAACGUCCGUCGUGAAGAGGGAAACAACCCAGACCGCCAGCUAAGGUCCCAAAGUCACAGUUAAGUGGGAAACGAUGUGGGAAGGCACAGACAGCCAGGAUGUUGGCUUAGAAGCAGCCAUCAUUUAAAGAAAGCGUAAUAGCUCACUGGUCGAGUCGGCCUGCGCGGAAGAUGUAACGGGGCUAAACUGUGCACCGAAGCUGCGGCAGCGACACUAUGUGUUGUUGGGUAGGGGAGCGUUCUGUAAGCCUGCGAAGGUGGCCUGUGAGGGUUGCUGGAGGUAUCAGAAGUGCGAAUGCUGACAUAAGUAACGAUAAUGCGGGUGAAAAGCCCGCACGCCGGAAGACCAAGGGUUCCUGUCCAACGUUAAUCGGGGCAGGGUGAGUCGACCCCUAAGGCGAGGCCGAAAGGCGUAGUCGAUGGGAAACAGGUUAAUAUUCCUGUACUUGGUGUUACUGCGAAGGGGGGACGGAGAAGGCUAUGUUAGCCGGGCGACGGUUGUCCCGGUUUAAGCAUGUAGGCGGAGGUUCCAGGUAAAUCCGGUACCUUAUUAACGCUGAGGUGUGAUGACGAGGCACUACGGUGCUGAAGUAACAAAUGCCCUGCUUCCAGGAAAAGCCUCUAAGCAUCAGGUAACAUUAAAUCGUACCCCAAACCGACACAGGUGGUCAGGUAGAGAAUACCAAGGCGCUUGAGAGAACUCGGGUGAAGGAACUAGGCAAAAUGGUGCCGUAACUUCGGGAGAAGGCACGCUGAUAUGUAGGUGAAGCCCCUGCGGGUGGAGCUGAAAUCAGUCGAAGAUACCAGCUGGCUGCAACUGUUUAUUAAAAACACAGCACUGUGCAAACACGAAAGUGGACGUAUACGGUGUGACGCCUGCCCGGUGCCGGAAGGUUAAUUGAUGGGGUUAUCCGUAAGGAGAAGCUCUUGAUCGAAGCCCCGGUAAACGGCGGCCGUAACUAUAACGGUCCUAAGGUAGCGAAAUUCCUUGUCGGGUAAGUUCCGACCUGCACGAAUGGCGUAAUGAUGGCCAGGCUGUCUCCACCCGAGACUCAGUGAAAUUGAACUCGCUGUGAAGAUGCAGUGUACCCGCGGCAAGACGGAAAGACCCCGUGAACCUUUACUAUAGCUUGACACUGAACAUUGAGCCUUGAUGUGUAGGAUAGGUGGGAGGCUUUGAAGCGUGGACGCCAGUCUGCGUGGAGCCAACCUUGAAAUACCACCCUUUAAUGUUUGAUGUUCUAACGUUGGCCCCUUAUCGGGGUUGCGGACAGUGUCUGGUGGGUAGUUUGACUGGGGCGGUCUCCUCCCAAAGAGUAACGGAGGAGCACGAAGGUUAGCUAAUCCUGGUCGGACAUCAGGAGGUUAGUGCAAUGGCAUAAGCUAGCUUGACUGCGAGCGUGACGGCGCGAGCAGGUGCGAAAGCAGGUCAUAGUGAUCCGGUGGUUCUGAAUGGAAGGGCCAUCGCUCAACGGAUAAAAGGUACUCCGGGGAUAACAGGCUGAUACCGCCCAAGAGUUCAUAUCGACGGCGGUGUUUGGCACCUCGAUGUCGGCUCAUCACAUCCUGGGGCUGAAGUAGGUCCCAAGGGUAUGGCUGUUCGCCAUUUAAAGUGGUACGCGAGCUGGGUUUAGAACGUCGUGAGACAGUUCGGUCCCUAUCUGCCGUGGGCGCUGGAGAAUUGAGGGGGGCUGCUCCUAGUACGAGAGGACCGGAGUGGACGCAUCACUGGUGUUCGGGUUGUCAUGCCAAUGGCAUUGCCCGGUAGCUAAAUGCGGAAGAGAUAAGUGCUGAAAGCAUCUAAGCACGAAACUUGCCCCGAGAUGAGUUCUCCCUGAGACUUUAAGUCUCCUGAAGGAACGUUAAAGACGAUGACGUUGAUAGGUCGGGUGUGUAAGCGUAGCGAUAUGUUGAGCUAACCGAUACUAAUGAACCGUGAGGCUUAACCUU
rnacentral:rRNA from 1 species